ensembl:lncRNA
AGGAGGGUAGACUGUGGAGAAGGGGCUAGUCUACAAAACUAGAUUAUUAUAGAUAAGAGGAGGGGAGACUGUGGAGACGGGGCUAGUCUACAAAACUAGAUUAUUAUAGAUAAGAGGAGGGGAGACUGUGGAGACGGGGCUAGUCUACAAAACUAGAUUAUUAUAGAUAAGAGGAGGGGAGACUGUGGAGAAGGGGCUAGUCUACAAAACUAGAUUAUUAUAGAUAAGAGGAGGGUAGACUGUGCAGGUAGGCUAGUCUACAAAACUAGAUUAUUAUAGAUAAGAGGAGGGUAGACUGUGGAGAAGGGGCUAGUCUACAAAACUAGAUUAUUAUAGAUAAGAGGAGGG